AUGUCUUCUGAUCAUGAGGUCACACUUGCCAUGUCCAUAAUGUUGCUGCUGUCUUUUGGGGUUCUUUGCUCAGCGGUUCCUGAGAACAACACAGAAGAUAUGCUCUCCCUGAUAGGUUUCAAGCAGGCGAUCACUUACGAUCCAUCGGGGAUCUUGAAACACUGGAACAGAAGCACCACCUUUUGCCGAUGGGAGGGCAUCAAAUGCAGCCGGAGACACCCAGGGCGCAUUGUGGAGCUGCACCUCGCCGGCCUGAAAUUGUCCGGCCAAAUCAGUUCCUUGGUUGGAAACCUCACGUUCCUAAAGAAACUCAACCUCUCAACAAACGGUCUGUCUGGCCGGUUGCCCCCACUGAACCGCCUCCACAGACAGCAAAUCCUUGACCUCGGCUACAACUCAUUGCAGGACACCAUUCCUGAUGCUCUUGCCAAUUGCUCCAAGCUGAGAAAAUUAUUCCUCUCCUAUAACUCUUUUGUAGGAGAAAUCCCACCCAAACUAGGCCUCCUCUCCAACUUAUCCGAUUUACGCUUCAACACAAAUAAUCUCACCGGAACCAUCCCAUCAACCUUUAGCAACAGUUCUAGCAUACAAGUUAUGUCUCUGUCAUAUAAUCACCUGUCGGGAGGUAUUCCCGAUGAACUCGGAAAGUUACCAAGUAUACGGUGGCUGGCCUUAGGUGGGAAUAGGCUAAUUGGUGGAUUCCCACAAGGCCUACUCAAUCUGUCUAAUUCCCUUCGAGUGCUUGGCUUGGAGUCGAAUAAGCUAGGAAACAGGUUGCCACUUAACAUUGGUGACAGCCUCUCUAAUCUCCAAUGGCUUUUCUUGAACCGUAACAUGUUCCAAGGGAAAAUACCAGCUUCCUUAGGUAAUGUUUUAGGGAUGGAAAGACUGGAGCUGGAGAAUAACAAUUUCACUGGUGAAAUUCCUUCUUCUUUGGGUAAGCUUAAAAGCCUGUACUAUUUGAAUCUUGGGGGAGACGGUCUUGAAGCAAAAGACGCCCAAAGCUGGGAGUUCUUUAAUGCAUUAAUAAACUGUAGCGGUCUAAAUAUCCUUGCUCUAGAUCGAAAUCAACUAGAUGGGACAAUACCAGGUUCAAUAGGAAACUUGUCAAAUAGUCUUGAGAUGCUAACUUUGGGUGGAAACAAGCUAUCGGGUAUAGUUCCCACAAGUGUGGCAAACCUUCAGUCCCUAAUUAAUCUGGGAUUUGAUUAUAACAAUUUAAGUGGAAAGAUUGUGGAAUGGGUUGGGAUGCUUACAAAAUUGCAAAGUUUAAAUCUUUAUCAGAACAAAUUCAGCGGGCCAAUUCCCUCUUCUAUGGGAAACCUAACUCAGUUGACGUUGCUCUCUCUAGCACUCAAUGAGUUUGAAGGUCCCAUACCGUCCAGCUUGGGGAAUCUAAAACAGCUCAUAUUGUUAGAUCUUAGCGAUAACACUCUCCAGAGCAACAUAACCCUAGAAGUUGGUGCCCUUAAACAAAUCGUUGACUUACGUCUUUCAUCAAACAAGCUUACUGGGGAGAUCCCUCACGUCUUAGGUCAAUGUCAGAACCUGGUAACCAUUCAAAUGGACCAAAACCUUCUCAUAGGAGACAUCCCAGCAUCUCUCGGGAACCUAAAGAGCUUGAACAUGGUUAAUCUCUCACAUAACAACUUGUCAGGAACCAUUCCUGAAGUUUUAGCUGACCUACCCCUCCUCGACAUGCUGGACCUUUCUUACAAUCAGCUCCAAGGAGAAGUUCCAAGAACUGGAGUAUUUAAAAAUGCUCCAUCAGUUUAUCUUGAUGGCAAUUUUGCACUAUGCGGAGGAGUGGUGGAUCUCGGAAUGCCCUUGUGUCCUGCUACUUCCCAAAGAAAAGGAAAGAAGUACUAUUUGGUCAGAGUGUUGAUUCCAGUAUUUGGCUUCUUAUCACUCAUCAUGUUGAUUGCAAUUAUAACUCUUCAUAAGAAGAAGAAGUCACACAGAGCAUACAUAUCAUCGACUUCCUUUGGUGGAAAAUUCCCUAGACUUUCUUACUAUGAUCUAGCUCGAGCUACUGGGAACUUCUGUGAAGCAAAUGUAAUUGGCAGAGGAAGUUGUGGUUCAGUUUACAGAGGAAAAUUGACUCAACUUGAAAUGGAAGUGGCUAUUAAGGUUUUCGAUCCCAAGAUGAGAUGUGUAGAUAAAAGUUUCAUAUCAGAAUGUAAGGUUCUGAGAAGCAUUAGACAUCGGUACAUUACUCCUAUCCUAACAGCUUGUCUGUCAAUAGAUAAUUCAGGUAAUGCUUUCAAGGCUCUGAUUUAUGUACUCAUGCCAAACAGAAAUUUGGACAAAUGGUUACAUGAAAAACCUGCUGGUGAAGAACCUAUUGUAUUGGGCUUAGGGCAAAGGAUAAGCAUGGUUGUUAAUAUUGCUGAUGCAUUGGCCUACUUGCACCAUGAUUCUAGAAGAUCCAUUGUCCAUCGUGAUUUGAAGCCUAGCAAUAUCCUCCUAGACGUUGAUAUGAAUGCACAUUUGGGUGACUUUGGCAUUGCAAACCUCGUACUUCAAUCUGGGUCCGCAACAGUUGGACAGUCAAGUUCAGGCACAAGUUCAAGCAACUCAGUCGGAUUGAAGGGGACAAUAGGAUAUAUAGCUCCAGAGUAUGCCAAUAGUGGCCAAGCAUCAACAUGUGGUGAUGUUUUCAGCUUUGGAAUAAUCAUUCUAGAGAUGCUGAUAGGCAAAAGACCAACGGACUGCAUGUUUCAGGAUGGCCUCAGCAUUGUCAACUUUGUGGAGAGGAACUUCCCAGAUCAGAUAGUACGUAUAAUCGAUGUUCAUCUCCAAGAAGAAUGUUGCGGAUACAUUCAUGGAGCAGACGAAAUAGGAAACAUUGUCUAUCAAUGCGUUUUGUCGCUUACACAAUUAGCACUUUCUUGCACGUGUGUGCUCCCGAAGGAAAGAAUGAUCAUGCGAGAAGUAGCCAUUAAGUUGCACGCAAUCAGAGUGUCAUAUGUUGGAGCGACCAAGGUCCAGCAAGAUGAAGCUCGUACACAAGCUCCAUCAGGAGAUAGGGAGGAUCUGGCAGAAGGUUCCUCUUGA
rnacentral:rRNA from 1 species